rnacentral:rRNA from 1 species
CACGGGUGAGUAACACGUAUCCAACCUGCCGUCUACUCUUGGACAGCCUUCUGAAAGGAAAGAUUAAUACAAGAUGGCAUCAUGAGUCCGCAUGUUCACAUGAUUAAAGGUGUUCCGGUAGACGAUGGGGAUGCGUUCCAUUAGAUAGUAGGCGGGGUAACGGCCCACCUAGUCUUCGAUGGAUAGGGGUUCUGAGAGGAAGGUCCCCCACAUUGGAACUGAGACACGGUCCAA